GACGAACGCUUGCGGCGUGCUUAACACAUGCAAGUCGAACGGAAAGGCCCUGCUUUUGUGGGGUGCUCGAGUGGCGAACGGGUGAGUAACACGUGAGUAACCUGCCCUUGACUUUGGGAUAACUUCAGGAAACUGGGGCUAAUACCGGAUAGGAGCUCCUGCUGCAUGGUGGGGGUUGGAAAGUUUCGGCGGUUGGGGAUGGACUCGCGGCUUAUCAGCUUGUUGGUGGGGUAGUGGCUUACCAAGGCUUUGACGGGUAGCCGGCCUGAGAGGGUGACCGGCCACAUUGGGACUGAGAUACGGCCCAGACUCCUACGGGAGGCAGCAGUGGGGAAUAUUGCACAAUGGGCGGAAGCUUGAUGCAGCAACGCCGCGUGCGGGAUGACGGCCUUCGGGUUGUAAACCGCUUUCGCCUGUGACGAAGCGUGAGUGACGGUAAUGGGUAAAGAAGCACCGGCUAACUACGUGCCAGCAGCCGCGGUGAUACGUAGGGUGCGAGCGUUGUCCGGAUUUAUUGGGCGUAAAGGGCUCGUAGGUGGUUGAUCGCGUCGGAAGUGUAAUCUUGGGGCUUAACCCUGAGCGUGCUUUCGAUACGGGUUGACUUGAGGAAGGUAGGGGAGAAUGGAAUUCCUGGUGGAGCGGUGGAAUGCGCAGAUAUCAGGAGGAACACCAGUGGCGAAGGCGGUUCUCUGGGCCUUUCCUGACGCUGAGGAGCGAAAGCGUGGGGAGCGAACAGGCUUAGAUACCCUGGUAGUCCACGCUGUAAACGGUGGGUACUAGGUGUGGGGUCCAUUCCACGGGUUCCGUGCCGUAGCUAACGCUUUAAGUACCCCGCCUGGGGAGUACGGCCGCAAGGCUAAAACUCAAAGGAAUUGACGGGGCCCCGCACAAGCGGCGGAGCAUGCGGAUUAAUUCGAUGCAACGCGUAGAACCUUACCUGGGUUUGACAUGGAUCGGGAGUGCUCAGAGAUGGGUGUGCCUCUUUUGGGGUCGGUUCACAGGUGGUGCAUGGCUGUCGUCAGCUCGUGUCGUGAGAUGUUGGGUUAAGUCCCGCAACGAGCGCAACCCUUGUUCACUGUUGCCAGCACGUUAUGGUGGGGACUCAGUGGAGACCGCCGGGGUCAACCCGGAGGAAGGUGGGGAUGACGUCAAGUCAUCAUGCCCCUUAUGUCCAGGGCUUCACGCAUGCUACAAUGGCUGGUACAGAGAGUGGCGAGCCUGUGAGGGUGAGCGAAUCUCGGAAAGCCGGUCUCAGUUCGGAUUGGGGUCUGCAACUCGACCUCAUGAAGUCGGAGUCGCUAGUAAUCGCAGAUCAGCAACGCUGCGGUGAAUACGUUCCCGGGGCU
rnacentral:rRNA from 1 species